AACAGUGGCAACCGCUGACUGGCACAGAAUUUCCUGCAAAAAGACAUCAUCAUUACCAUUCCAUUACUUCUGCCAACUCAGAUUCGGAGUUUACGAGAUGAAAGAAGGUGAUGUACCCGUAGCUUAUGAUACGGCUGAGGGUUAUGUGAUGAUCAUGGGGACUAGAGAUGAGGACGUUGCAGGCUUCCCAUUGCAAGCUCCACAUAGUAAGUUGUUUAUGAACCAGGAAUCUCGAUGUUAAUGUCUUGCCCCACUCCGUGCAUGGAAAGCAUGGAAGGGCCGAAAGUGGAUUCGGACAUUGUAUCGGGCCAUAAGCUAGGCUCGACGAAGAAUAAGGCAUGAAGGAAUUUGGAUCUGAUCUCGGAUCAAUGCGUUGUCUGCCCUGGGCCUGUCCCUAAGCCCGCGCGCAGAUUGGACUCAAAAAGUAAGCACCAAAUCAGGUUCGAUGCCCACCGAGAACCAAAUCCAAACCUGGUUCGAGGCUCAUCCCAACCCUAUAUUCAAUGGAGCUUCGACUCCUGGGAUCCUUUCAAACUUUGAGGGCUUCCCCUUCAACACCACCCUCUCCUCAUUUCUCUGCCCUUCUUUCCCCAACGAGAUCUCUCCCUUCGUUAGCACCCACAUUGACAAGGAGGCUGUGCCGGGUCAUGCCUCUAUCUGCGCUCGGUCUGAAAGUUUUUUUCAGACUUUGGG
rnacentral:lncRNA from 1 species